rnacentral:rRNA from 1 species
UACGUAGGGCGCAAGCGUUGUCCGGAAUUAUUGGGCGUAAAGAGCUCGUAGGCGGUCUGUCGCGUCUGCUGUGAAAACCUAAGGCUCAACCUUGGGCUUGCAGUGGGUACGGGCAGGCUAGAGUGCGGUAGGGGUGACUGGAAUUCCUGGUGUAGCGGUGGAAUGCGCAGAUAUCAGGAGGAACACCGAUGGCGAAGGCAGGUCACUGGGCCGCAACUGACGCUGAGGAGCGAAAGCAUGGGGAGCGAACAGG